rnacentral:rRNA from 1 species
AACGUAGGAGACAAACGUUAUCCGGAGUUACUGGGCGUAAAGGGCGUGUAGGCGGUUAGUUAAGUCUGGCGUGAAAGCUCUCGGCUAAACCGGGAGAGGUCGUUGGAUACUGGCUGACUAGAGGAUGGUAGAGGCGUGUGGAAUUCCGGGUGUAGUGGUGAAAUGCGUAGAGAUCCGGAGGAACACCAGUGGCGAAGGCGACACGCUGGGCCAUACCUAACGCUAAAGCGCGACAGCAUGGGGAGCAAACGGG